CACGUAGGGUGCGAGCGUUGUCCGGAAUUAUAGGGCGUAAAGAGCUCGUAGGCGGUGUGUCGCGUCGGCCGUGAAAACCUGCAGCUUAACUGUGGGCGUGCGGUCGAUACGGGCAUCACUGGAGUUCGGCAGGGGAGACUGGAAUUCCUGGUGUAGCGGUGAAAUGCGCAGAUAUCAGGAGGAACACCGGUGGCGAAGGCGGGUCUCUGGGCCGAUACUGACGCUGAGGAGCGAAAGCGUGGGGAGCGAACAGG
rnacentral:rRNA from 1 species